GUGAGGUCCUCUAGUAAUGAUAUACCACAAUUCAUAGUCUAAAGCUUGAAUGAAUAUCCUCAUCCUAGCUUUUCAGUAUGUGUAAUUUGUGCCAUUAAAUAGAGGAGGUCUAUUUGUGGAUUGCCCCUCACUCAUAGAACAUCCCACUUGGGUUGUCAUGAUCUUUAACUCUUGAUUGUGAGAUCAAUAAGUACUAUUGGAGCACCUUGCUCUGAUACCACUUGUUGC
rnacentral:lncRNA from 1 species